UACGGAGGGUGCAGGCGUUGCUCGGAAUUAUUGGGCGUAAAGGGUAGGUAGGUGGUCUCGUUUGUCUGGGGUGAAAGCCUUGAGCUUAACUCAAGAAGUGCCCCAGAAACGGCGAGACUAGAGUCCUGGAGAGGGUCGUGGAAUUCCCGGUGUAGUGGUGAAAUGCGUAGAGAUCGGGAGGAACACCAGUGGCGAAGGCGGCUCGCUGGGCCGGACCUGACGCUGAGACGCGAAGGCGUGGGGAGCGAACGGG
rnacentral:rRNA from 1 species